rnacentral:rRNA from 1 species
GAUGAACGCUGGCGGCGUGCCUAACACAUGCAAGUCGAGCGAAUGGACGGGAAUCGUGCUUGUCUGAAGCUACCGACGGACGAGUAAGUAACACGUAUAUAACCUACCUAUAAGACUAAGAUAACUUCAGGAAACCUGAGCUAACACCGGAUAAUAUUGUGAACCGCAUGGAUCAAAGGUCAAAGACGGACUUGCUGUCACUUGUAGAUGGUACCGCGCUGCAUGAGCUAGUUGGUAAGGUAACGGCAUACCAAGGCAACGAUGCGUAGCCGACCGGAGAGGGUGAUCAGUCACACUGGAACUGAGACACGGUCCAGACUCCUACGGGAGGCAGCAGUCGGGAAUAUUCCACAAUGGGCGAAAGCCUGAUCGAGCAACGCCGCGUGAGUGAUGAAGGUCUUCGGAUCGUAAAGCUCUGUUAGUUGGGAGGAAGAUAAGUGUGAUUAACUGUUCCCAUUUUGACGUUACCUAAACAGAAAGCCACGGCUAACUCCGUG